rnacentral:rRNA from 1 species
UACGUAGGGGGCUAGCGUUGUUCGGAAUUACUGGGCGUAAAGCGCACGUAGGCGGCUUUUUAAGUCAGAGGUGAAAGCCCGGAGCUCAACUCCGGAAUUGCCUUUGAGACUGGAUCGCUUGAACGUCGGAGAGGUGAGUGGAAUUCCGAGUGUAGAGGUGAAAUUCGUAGAUAUUCGGAAGAACACCAGUGGCGAAGGCGGCUCACUGGACGACUGUUGACGCUGAGGUGCGAAAGCGUGGGGAGCAAACAGG